AGGACGAACGCUGGCGGCGUGCUUAACACAUGCAAGUCGAGCGAGGCUCCUCCUUCGGGAGGAUGCCCUAGCGGCGAACGGGUGAGUAACACGUGGGCAACCUGCCCCUAGCACUGGGAUAACCCCGGGAAACCGGGCUAAUACCGGAUACGACUUCGGAAGGCAUCUUCUGAAGUGGAAAAGGUUACUGGCUAGGGAUGGGCCCGCGGCCUAUCAGCUUGUUGGUGGGGUAAUGGCCCACCAAGGCGACGACGGGUAGCCGGCCUGAGAGGGCGACCGGCCACACUGGGACUGAGACACGGCCCAGACUCCUACGGGAGGCAGCAGUGGGAAUAUUGCACAAUGGGCGAAAGCCUGAUGCAGCGACGCCGCGUGAGGGAUGACGGCCUUCGGUUGUAAACCUCUUUCAGCAGGGACGAAGCGAAAGUGACGGUACCUGCAGAGAAGCACCGGCCAACUACGCGCCAGCAGCCGC
rnacentral:rRNA from 1 species